rnacentral:rRNA from 1 species
UACGUAGGGGGCAAGCGUUAUCCGGAUUUACUGGGUGUAAAGGGAGCGUAGGCGGGAGAGCAAGUCAACUGUGAAAUCUAUGGGCUUAACCCAUAGCUGCGAUCGAAACUGUUCAUCUUGAGUGAAGUAGAGGCAGGCGGAAUUCCUAGUGUAGCGGUGAAAUGCGUAAAUAUUAGGAGGAACACCAGUGGCGAAGGCGGCCUGCUGGGCUUUAACUGACGCUGAGGCUCGAAAGCGUGGGUAGCAAACAGG